rnacentral:pre_miRNA from 1 species
AUCACCUGGGAAUCUUAUGAAAAUGCAGAUUCUGAUUAAGUAAAUUGGGAUAGAGCCUGCGAUUCUGCAUUUCUCACAACCUUCCAGGUGCUGCUGA